rnacentral:rRNA from 1 species
GGGGGGAGUAUGAUUGCAAGGGUGAAAAUCAAAGAAAUGGACGGAAGGUCACCAUCAGGAGUGGAACCUGCGGCUUAAUUAGACUCAACACGCGAAAACUUACCAGGUCCAGACAUAGUGAGGAUUGACAGAUUGAGAGCUCUUUCCAGAUUUUAUGGGCGGUGGAGCAUGGCCGUUGUUAGUAGGUGGAGUGAUUUGUAUGGUUAAUUCCGUUAACGAACGAGACCCCUGCCUGCUAAAUAGUUGAGCGAAUGAAUGUUCAUUGGCUACAGCUUCUUAGAGGGACGUGCGUUCUAUUAGACGCAGGAAGAUAGGGGCAAUAACAGGUAUUGUGACCCCAUUAGAUGUCUUGGGCCGCACGCCCGUUACAGUCAAGCACUCAACGACUAUACCUUGGCCGAGAGGCUUGGGAAAUCUCUUAACCUGCAUAAUGAUAGGGAUAGACUAGUGCAAUUAGUAAUAUCGAAUGAGGAAUUCGUAGUAAACGUCAGAUCAUCAA